CGCCCUCCAUCCGCUGCGUUCUCUGCUACAGACGUAGACUGCUCCUGCUUUCACCGGCAGUUGAGCAUCUGCUCCCUCCUUGCAGAUGAGAAAUUCGGAGUAAUCUUCAACCACAAACCUUUCUCCCGAGUCAAGCUUGACUCUGGAGAACAGGGCUGCCCGUAAGGGCCUAGCAUGAUUCCGUGCCUGCAAUCGGCAUCAGAAAUAUACAGGGCCUCGGGGACUUCAUGGGUGACUUGUCUUCCAUGUGUCCUCCUCGAGGGAUUCCCUAUGGAAGAGCCAUUGCGAAGAUUGUUUGGCGCGUACCGCGACCUCAACUUUAGUGCAAUCGCAGCGGAUUCCACCCUUUCAUUGACCUCUUCGGAGUUGGUGACCGGGCGGUUUCAAUUCGAUUCUGAUUACUCUGGGGGGCG
rnacentral:RNase_P_RNA from 2 species